GGUAUCAAGUUAGGUUAACCUGUCAGAGUCAACAGCAAAGAUCUAUAAUCUUUGGUCAACAGCAAAGAUACUCGUCUAGAUUCUUUGGUCAAUAGGUCAAAGGGAAAUUGGAGGAACAGCACCUCAUAUUUCGCUUGGACACCUUACAACCCACUGGGAUCGCCUGAGAAAUAUAAAAGAAAGAGUCCUACCCUCAGACCUCCAACGGUGGGCAAGUCGUGAUCUGGUGAACUUGCUAUAAUCUUGUGUCCAGCCAGUACACCUGAGGAAGAAAAAUACAAUUUCUGAAAAUGAAAUCUUGAUGCUGCCUGGCUACCAGAAGAUCUACAGCACAUUAUUUAUUUAGUUUAGUUUAAUUCAGAGUUUAGAGAUGUAGCGUGGAAGCAGAUGCUUCAGCCCACCAAUUCCCUACCAACCAGAGAUCACUAGAAAGGCUGGCAGUAUCAUCAAAGACCCACAUCACCCUGGCCACACACUCAUCUCCCCGCUACCUUCAGGUAGAAGGUACAGGAGCCUGAAGACUGCAACGUCCAGGUUCAGGAAUAGUUACUUCCCCACAGCCAUCAGGCUAUUAAACUCGGCUCAGACAAAACUCUGAACGUUAAUAGCCCAUUAUCUGUUUAUUUGCACUUUAUCUAUUCAUGUGUGUGUGUAUAUAUUUAUACAAUGGUAUACGUACACACUGAUCUGUUCUGUAGUCAUGCCUAAUAUGUUCUGUUGUGCUGAAGCAAAGCAAGAAUGUCAUUGU